UACGGAGGGUGCAAGCGUUGUCCGGAUUUAUUGGGUUUAAAGGGUGCGUAGGCGGCCCUGUAAGUCAGUGGUGAAAUUCUUGAGCUUAACUGAAGGAUUGCCAUUGAUACUGUAGGGCUUGAGUACAGAUGAGGUAGGCGGAAUUGAUGGUGUAGCGGUGAAAUGCAUAGAUACCAUCAAGAACACCGAUUGCGAAGGCAGCUUACUAAGCUGUAACUGACGCUGAUGCACGAAAGUGUGGGGAUCAAACAGG
rnacentral:rRNA from 1 species